GGCUGAAUAACUUACUCAAGUCCUGGUGGCUAAGAUGUGACCGCCCAGCUCUGGCCUCUGUUGCUGAAGCUGCAGAAGUUAGAAGUUCACAAUGUAAACGAAGUUUAUUAAUGGAAAAUAUUAGGAAGUUAAUAUCCUGAAAAGUCCUAAAGACGACAGUCCUAUUUUCCCUGUUUAAUUACCCACCUCCUGUCCUAGUGACUUGAAACCACAGCCAAGAGAACCAAGGGUGACUGCGACUGUCAUAAGGGAGCAAGCCUUCACCGUCACCAAGUCUUAGGGUGAGGAGUAACUGGAUCAAUCACAGCCCUUCCCUUUUGCCCGCCCUAAUUCUAAAAUCAGCCAAUCACGGAGGUCAUAAUCCAGAACUCCUCCAAUCAGAGUGAAGGGCAGCUCUGCCUCGGUUCCAUAUCUAAGCAGGUGCCUGCUAACCCAUGCGCAGCGCGCCCUUCUGCUAGCAGUAGAGGUUGGCGGAGGGCCAUCCACUUUCAAGCAUCUACUUGAUUUUUGGGGGGCACCUGGUUAUUUCUAACCAUAGGAAAGAGACAUUUGAAAUUGGGCUCUCACAGUUGUGACACUAAAACCAUGCCUUUGCAUGUUAAUGACAGCACAUCAGAGGGCAGAGGUAGACUUCACGACAUGCUAAAUGCCUGGUGGCUGCAGGUGCUCUGCCACACCUACAGCCAUCCACUGUAUCUGCAGAUCCCGCAUCUGCAGUCCAACAACCGCAAGACCAAAAGCAUUGCUUGUAAGUGUGCCUGGCCUGGACAUGCACGGACCUUUUUCACCUCCUUGGUCCCUAAACAAUACAAUAUAACAACUAUUCACAUAAUAUUUGCACUGCAUGAGGGAUAAGUAAUUUAGAGUUGACUUAAAAUAUAUGGGAGGAUACAUGUCCGUUCUGUGCAAUACUGUACCCUUUUAUGUAAAGGGACUUGAGCAUCCGCAGAUUUUGGCAUCCAAAGGGCAUCCUGGAUACCAGGGGAUGAUGAGGAGUAUGAGCGUCUUUUGCUGCAGAUUCAAACAAUUGUCCUGUACAGCACUAGUCAAGAAUAUUUGUCGGCUGGGUGUGGCAGUGUACAUCUGUAAUCCCAGUGGCUCAGGAAGCAGAGGCAGGAGGAUCAGAGUACAAAGCCAGCCUGGGAAACUUAGCAAGGCCCUAAGAAAUUUAGUAAGUCCCUGUCUCAAAAUAAAAAAUAAAAAAGGGCUGGGGAUGUGGCUCAGCGGUUAAGCACCUCUCAGUACCAAAACCAAAACAAAACUGGUCAUCAUGAAGGGAUUCUGUAGCAAACUGCACCGUGGUAGUGAGCUUCCAGAAACCCAAAGAGAAGAAAUAGCUCUCAGAAAAAGGAGCCCUUAGGACAGAGAAAGCCCAGGGGCCUCUUGUUUCUAUUCAUCCACUACAAUGACCAAGAC
rnacentral:lncRNA from 1 species